rnacentral:rRNA from 1 species
AACAAACGCUGGCGGCGUGCCUAACACAUGCAAGUCGUACGAGAAAGGGUCCUUCGGGGCCUGAGUAAAGUGGCGCACGGGUGAGUAACGCGUGGAUAAUCUGCCCUUCAGUUGGGAAUAACUCAUCGAAAGGUGGGCUAAUACCGAAUAAUGCUGUGAGACCUCGGUUGAUCAGCCAAAGAGAGCCUCUGCUUGCAAGCCCUCGCUGAAGGAUGAGUCCGCGUACCAUUAGCUAGUUGGUAGGGUAAUGGCCUACCAAGGCGACGAUGGUUAGGUGGUCUGAGUGGAGGAGCAGCCACACUGGAACUGAGACACGGUCCAGACUCCUACGGGAGGCAGCAGUGAGGAAUCUUGCGCAAUGGGGGCAACCCUGACGCAGCAACGCCGCGUGAGUGAGGAAGGUCUUCGGAUCGUAAAGCUCUGUCGGAUGGAAAGAACCGCAUAGGGGUAAACAGCCCCUGUGUCUGACGGUACCAUCAAAGGAAGCACCGGCUAACUCCGUGCCAGCAGCCGCCGUAAGAC